rnacentral:rRNA from 1 species
UGCCAGCCGCCGCGGUAAUACGGAGGGAGCGAGCGUUAAUCGGAAUUACUGGGCGUAAAGCGCGCGUAGGCGGCUUUGUAAGUCGGAUGUGAAAGCCCAGGGCUCAACCCCGGAAGUGCACUUGAAACAGCAAGACUUGAAUACGGUAGAGGAGAGAGGAAUUCCUGGUGUAGAGGCGAAAUUCGUAGAUAUUGGGAGGAACGCCGGUGGCGAAGGCGAUCACCUGGACGGGUACUGACGCUGAGACGCGAAAGCGUGGGGAGCAAACAGGAUUAGAUA